rnacentral:rRNA from 1 species
UACGGAGGGGGCUAGCGUUGUUCGGAAUUACUGGGCGUAAAGGGCGCGUAGGCGGCCUUCUAAGUCGAACGUGAAAUCCCCGGGCUCAACCCGGGAACUGCGUCCGAUACUGGAAGGCUUGAAUCCGGGAGAGGGAUGUGGAAUUCCCGGUGUAGUGGUGAAAUGCGUAGAGAUCGGGAGGAACACCUGUGGCGAAGGCGGGUCUCUGGGCCGGAUACUGACGCUGAGGAGCGAAAGCGUGGGGAGCAAACAGG